GAGUUUGAUCGUGGCUCAGAUUGAACGCUGGCGGCAUGCCUUACACAUGCAAGUCGAACGGCAGCACGGGAGCUUGCUCCUGGUGGCGAGUGGCGAACGGGUGAGUAAUGCAUCGGAACGUAUCCUGGAGUGGGGGGUAACGUAGCGAAAGUUACGCUAAUACCGCAUAUUCUGUGAGCAGGAAAGCGGGGGACCUUCGGGCCUCGCGCUCUUGGAGCGGCCGAUGUCGGAUUAGCUAGUUGGUGAGGUAAAGGCUCACCAAGGCGACGAUCCGUAGCAGGUCUGAGAGGAUGAUCUGCCACACUGGAACUGAGACACGGUCCAGACUCCUACGGGAGGCAGCAGUGGGGAAUUUUGGACAAUGGGGGCAACCCUGAUCCAGCCAUGCCGCGUGAGUGAAGAAGGCCUUCGGUUGUAAG
rnacentral:rRNA from 1 species